CUGGUUGAUCCUGCCAGAGGCCACUGCUAUCGGGGUUUGACUAAGCCAUGCGAGUCGAGAGGUGCAAGACCUCGGCGAACUGCUCAGUAACACGUGGACAAUCUGCCCUGAAGAAGAGAAUAAUCCCGGGAAACUGGGGGUAAUGCUCUAUAGUCCGGGAGGACUGGAAUGUUCUCCGGAUGAAAGAUCCGUCGCUUCAGGAUGAGUCUGCAGCCGAUUAGGUAGUUGUUGGGGUAAAAGCCCAACAAGCCCGUAAUCGGUACGGGUUGUGGGAGCAAGAGCCCGGAGAUGGAUUCUGAGACACGAAUCCAGGCCCUACGGGGYGCAGCAGGCGCGAAAACUUUACAAUGCGGGCAACCGUGAUAAGGAAACCCCGAGUGCCAGCACAGGCUGGCUGUCCGCCAGUUUAAAACUCUGGUGAAGAAAGGGCCGGGCAAGACCGGUGCCAGCCGCCGCGGUAAUACCGGCGGCUCGAGUGGUGGCCGCUUUUACUGGGCUUAAAGGGUCCGUAGCUUGAUUCAUGGGUCCCUUGAGAAAUCUAUCGGCUUAACUGCUAGGCGUUCAGGGGAAACUGUGAUUCUAGGGACCGGGAGAGGUGAGAGGUACUGCCGGGGUAGGAGUGAAAUCCUGUAAUCCCGGUGGGACGACCUAUGGCGAAAGCAUCUCACCAGAACGGCUCCGACAGUGAGGGACGAAAGCUGGGGGAGCAAACCGGAUUAGAUACCCGGGUAGUCCCAGCUGUAAACGAUGCGCGUUAGUGUGUCAGUGACCACGUGUCACUGAGUGCCGAAGGAAACCGUGAAACGCGCCGCCUGGGGAGUACGGUCGCAAGGCUGAAACUUAAAGGAAUUGGCGGG
rnacentral:rRNA from 1 species